rnacentral:lncRNA from 1 species
UGAUGCCGUUGCCCCGAAAACCAGCGAUUGACGUCCCUGCUCGACCCAACGCCUUGUUGCCCGGAGUCGAAGCUCUGCAACCCGCCUCCGCCCAGCCUCACUGUCGCCGUUUGCUAGUGGUGCCAGACGCCGCACUAUCGCCAGUCCCCUCGCCGGAGCUCCAACGCCGGUCACCCUCCGUCCGGCGCUGACCACUGCUGCUUCUCCCCUCCAAAAUC